AGAGUUUGAUCCUGGCUCAGGAUAAACGCUGGCGGCAUGCCUAAUACAUGCAAGUCGAACGAACAUAGUAAUAUGUUAGUGGCGAACGGGUGAGUAACACGUAAGUAACCAACCUUCAAGACGAGGAUAACCACUGGAAACGGUAGCUAAAACUGGAUAGGAUGUCUGAUCAUAAGAUGAGAUAUUUAAAAGCGCUGAAAGGCGCUACUUGAAGCUGGGCUUGCGGCGCAUUAGAUAGUUGGUGAGGUAACGGCCCACCAAGUCAACGAUGCGUAGCAGCGCUGAGAGGCGGAACUGCCACACUGGGACUGAGACACGGCCCAGACUCCUACGGGAGGCAGCAGUAGGGAAUUUUCGGCAAUGGGGGAAACCCUGACCGAGCAAUGCCGCGUGAAUGAAGAAGGUCUUCGGAUUGUAAAGUUCUGUUAUUGGGAAAGAAUAUCAUAUUCAGGAAAUGGGAUAUGAAUGACGGUACCCGAUAGAAG
rnacentral:rRNA from 1 species